rnacentral:lncRNA from 1 species
GGUGUGUGACUACCAAAGGAUCCCUCCACUAAUCAACCGUGCACCUACCAAGAUCCGGGGGACCCACGUGGGCCCGGGGGUCAAGCACAGCUUUAGUCCCCACAAGACUCCCAGGACUAGUCAACUGCCUGCAGGGCAGAUAAAGCGUGAGUGAGGGGGCACAGCCAUCACCUGCAGGGCUGGGGGAGCUGGCGUGCCCUUCGCAGGCUAAGGAGUCCUGGCAGCACUGCCUUCUGCCUCCUGAGCCUGGUGGGGCACAAACUCUGCCCCUCUGCCAACAGUCCAGACUGAGGAGCUGCACUCCAUCAGAGGAGAGCUGAGCCAGAUCAAAGCCCAGGUGGAUCACCUGCUGGAGACUGUGGACCGCAUGGACCAGCAGAUGGACCAGCUUCCAGGUAAAGAAUCACGCAUCAGACCAGGAGGGCAGCCAGUAGAAGGCUGGAACUCCCCCAGUCUCAUCAGCUCCAGGCACUUUCUUCGGCGGUUCCUAUCCCCUGCCUUGAGUAGCACCCACGCUGGAGCAAGCGCAAAGAAGUGGAGGCAUGGCUCAGCCAGUCCAGCUGGGAAGCCCCCCCCCAGUGCUGACUUUAGCUUGAGGAUCAUGUUUCCAGAUGACCAUCUGGGGGCUAGCGGGGAAGGAAGGAGCCCUCCAAGUGCCCAGCACCAGCUCACCAUUCUCAUAAAGUUGAAGCCACUCCUGUUAAGAGGCAGCUGGAAAGGGCCCCCCUGGGAGCACCACCAGCCCUCUGACUACAGGUACCUCCCUAGCUGCUUCUCCCCGCCCCUCGCCAAAGCCUUACCUGUCCUCUCUGGGUCUCAGCAGGAGUAUCACUUUUAUGUUGUUUCUACCUUGUCUCUUGCUGGUGUGAUCUUACAUAUUUCAGAUCUGCUUUGGAAAAAUAUGUCACUGAGGAAAAAUAAAAUUUUAUUUCUUUUCCCUGGUCAGGGGUCCUUAGUGUAGUCUCAAAGCCUCACUACAGUCUCUCAACUGCCCCUUUCUAGAGAAGCUGAGCAGGCCUCGGAGACACACAAGCUCAGAAGCUCACACCAAGUCAGGGC